rnacentral:rRNA from 1 species
AAAGCUUAGUGGCGAACGGGUGAGUGACACGUGACCAAUCUGCCCCGGACUGGGGAAUAACAUCGGGAAACUGAUGCUAAUACCACAUAUUGAGAUUUUACCGCAUGGUAGACUCUUGAAAGCUUCGGCGGUCCGGGAUGAGGUCGCGCCCUAUUAGUUUGUUGGUGAGGUAACGGCUCACCAAGACAGCGAUGGGUAGCUGGUCUGAGAGGAUGAUCAGCCACACUGGGACUGAGAUACGGCCCAKACUCCUACGGGAGGCAGCAGUGAGGAAUAUUGCGCAWUGGGCGAAAGCCUGACGCAKCAACGCCGCGUGAAGGAUGAAGGUGCUUUGCAUUGUAAACUUCUGUAAGGAGGGAAGAACUCCCCGCUUUUGGCGGGGCUGACGGUACCUCCAAAGUAAGCACCGGCUAAUUCAGUGCCAKCAGCCGCGGUAAUACUGAAGGUGCAAGCKUUGUCCGGAUUCUACUGGGUGUAAAGGGCGU